rfam:Smittium culicis strain GSMNP scaffold-1616, whole genome shotgun sequence.
GCCCGGUUAGCUCAAUGGUAGAGCGUGAGGCUUUUAACCUCAAGGCUACGGGUUCGACCCCCGUAUCGGGCU